rnacentral:rRNA from 1 species
UACGAAGGGGGCUAGCGUUGCUCGGAAUUACUGGGCGUAAAGGGCGCGUAGGCGGACAGUUUAGUUGGGGGUGAAAGCCCGGGGCUCAACCUCGGAAUUGCCUUCAAUACUGGCUGUCUUGGGUACGGGAGAGGUGUGUGGAACUCCGAGUGUAGAGGUGAAAUUCGUAGAUAUUCGGAAGAACACCAGUGGCGAAGGCGACACACUGGCCCGUUACUGACGCUGAGGCGCGAAAGCGUGGGGAGCAAACAGG